rnacentral:rRNA from 1 species
AUUGAACGCUGGCGGCAUGCCUAACACAUGCAAGUCGAACGGGGUAGCGAUACCCUAGUGGCGGACGGGUGAGGAAUGCGUAGGAAUCGGCCCACGAGUGGGGGACAACCUGGGGAAACUCAGGCUAAUACCGCAUACGCUCGUAAGAGGAAAGCGGGGGCUCUUCGGACCUCGCGCUGGUGGACGAGCCUACGUCCGAUUAGCUAGUUGGUGGGGUAAAGGCUCACCAAGGCGACGAUCGGUAGCGGGUCUGAGAGGACGACCCGCCACACUGGGACUGAGACACGGCCCAGACUCCUACGGGAGGCAGCAGUGGGGAAUCUUGGACAAUGGGCGCAAGCCUGAUCCAGCAAUGCCGCGUGGGUGAAGACGGCCUGCGGGUUGUAAAGCCCUUUAGGCGGGGAGGAACGACGGGACGCUAAUAGCGUUUCGGAGUGACGUUACCCGCGGAAUAAGCACCGGCUAACUCCGUG